UUCCACCAUGUGGCUGCACUGGAGUUCUGAGCAUACUCUGGGGACAAAGAAGGAUUGACUCUGGGAGAACACAGGAGCGUCAAAUACACAAAAUGUUCUGUUUCCUAAUGAGCUUGCUACAUGGCAUUUACCAUUUGUCCCCAGAGGAUGUUUGCCACAGUGGACUCUACUGCUUUCUAAACAGUGAAAGAUACCAUCAACAUUGCUGCUGAAGAAUUGGAUUCCUUGAAAAAGAUACAUUGAAGCCCUAACGCCUAGCACAUGUGAAUGUGACUUUAUUUGGAAACAGGGUCUUUGCAGAUGUAAUCAAGUUGAGGUCAUACUGGACUAGAGGCCCCUGAUCCAAUGUGUGUUGUUAUUAUAAGAAGAGGAAGCAGAGACAGACACAGAGACACACACAGCAGAAAGCCAUGUGGAAAUGGAGGCAGAGCCUGGAGUGCUUUAUUCACAAGCUAAGGAACUGCCAAGAAUUGCUGGCGAACACUAGAAGCUGGAAGAGAAACAUAGAUUCUCUCUCUGAGUCCCCAAGAAAUAAUUAAUCCUGAUGAAACCUUAAGUGUAGUCUUUGCUCUCAAAAACUGUGGGAGAAUACAUGUCUGUUAUUUUAAGCUGACAAAUUUGUGUCAAUUUGUCCUGGUAGUCCGAGGGAACUAAGGAUUCCUUUAUGGGAGGUUCCCAACAUUUCCCUUUUGCAAUACUGCCUCUCACCCACCUAAAGCUGCAAGAACAGGGCAGCACCAUCACAUGAUUAUGUCAAAUUGGAUUUUCUGGAGCCCUCAGUCUAUGGAAGCCAUUCCACACUUCAUCAG